UACAGAGGGUGCAAGCGUUGUUCGGAAUUAUUGGGCGUAAAGCGCGUGUAGGCGGCCAGAUAAGUUGGGUGUGAAAGCCCUCGGCUUAACCGAGGAAGUGCGCCCAAAACUGCUUGGCUUGAGUACCGGAGAGGAUGGUGGAAUUCCCGGUGUAGAGGUGAAAUUCGUAGAUAUCGGGAGGAACACCAGUGGCGAAGGCGACCAUCUGGACGGAUACUGACGCUGAGACGCGAAAGCGUGGGGAGCAAACAGG
rnacentral:rRNA from 1 species